AUUGAACGCUGGCGGUAGGCUUAACACAUGCAAGUCGUGCGAGAAAGUAUCUUCGGAUAUGAGUAGAGCGGCGGACGGGUGAGUAACGCGUAGGAAUCUACCUAGUAGAAGGGGAUAGCCCGGGGAAACCCGGAUUAAUACCGUAUACCUCCUUCGGGAGAAAGAAGGCCUCUCUUUGAAGCUUUCGCUAUUAGAUGAGCCUGCGUAAGAUUAGCUUGUUGGUGAGGUAAAGGCUCACCAAGGCGACGAUCUUUAGCUGGUCUGAGAGGACGAUCAGCCACAUUGGGACUGAGACACGGCCCAGACUCCUACGGGAGGCAGCAGUGGGGAAUAUUGGACAAUGGGCGCAAGCCUGAUCCAGCCAUACCGCGUGUGUGAAGAAGGCCUUCGGGUUGUAAAGCACUUUAAGCAGGGAGAAAAAGUUAUAAGUUAAUACCUUAUAACCUUGAUGUUACCUGCAGAAUAAGCACCGGCUAAUUCCGUGCCAGCAGCCGCGGUAAUACGGAAGGUGCAAGCGUUAAUCGGAAUUACUGGGCGUAAAGCGCGCGUAGGUGGUUUGUUAAGUUGGAUGUGAAAGCCCUGGGCUCAACCUAGGAACUGCAUCCAAAACUAACUCACUAGAGUACGAUAGAGGGAGGUAGAAUUCAUAGUGUAGCGGUGGAAUGCGUAGAUAUUAUGAAGAAUACCAGUGGCGAAGGCGGCCUCCUGGAUCUGUACUGACACUGAGGUGCGAAAGCGUGGGUAGCGAACAGGAUUAGAUACCCUGGUAGUCCACGCCGUAAACGAUGACAACUAGCUGUUGGAAGACAAAGUCUUUCAGUGGCGCAGCUAACGUUUUAAGUUGUCCGCCUGGGGAGUACGGCCGCAAGGCUA
rnacentral:rRNA from 1 species